rnacentral:rRNA from 1 species
ACGUAGGUGGCAAGCGUUACUCGGAAUCACUAGGCGUAAAGCGCAGGUAGGCGGUUCAAUAAGUCUCUUGUGAAAGCUCCCGGCUUAACUGGGAGAGGUCAGGGGAAACUGUUGGGCUAGAGUGUGGCAGAGGAAGCUGGAAUUCCCGGUGUAGCGGUGAAAUGCGUAGAUAUCGGGAGGAAUACCUAUGGCGAAAGCAGGCUUCUGGGCCGUCACUGACGCUGAGCUGCGAAAGCUAGGGGAGCAAACAGGA